rnacentral:rRNA from 1 species
GAAAUUCGCCUUCAUGAAGCCGGAAUUGCUAGUAAUGGCAGGUCAGCAUACUGCCGUGAAUACGUUCCCGGGCCUUGUACACGCCGCCCGUCACACCAUGAGAGUUGGAAAUACCCGAAGCCUGUGAGCUAACCUUAUAGGAGGCAGCAGUCGAAGGUAGAGCCAAUGAUUGGGGUGAAGUCGUAACAAGGUACC